UACAGAGGUCUCAACCGUUGUUCGGAUUCAUUGGGCGUAAAGGGUGCGUAGGCGGUCGCGCAAGUCGGAUGUGAAAUCUCAGGGCUCAACCCUGAAACUGCAUUCGAUACUGCGUGGCUAGAGUGCUGGAGAGGAGACUGGAAUUUACGGUGUAGCAGUGAAAUGCGUAGAUAUCGUAAGGAAGACCAGUGGCGAAGGCGAGUCGCUGGACAGCAACUGACGCUGAGGCACGAAGGCCAGGGGAGCAAACGGG
rnacentral:rRNA from 1 species